GCAGUGCCUGAAGCUGUAGCGUGUGCCGCGCUCAGGUGCUCAGGUCCCUUAUGGUGCCUACAUACGUUGACACUGACCAGAGUGAGAAAAUACACUGACGUGUCAACUGGUGAUGUGCAAUUGACCUUGGGAUGCAUAACUUCGUUGGGGGAAUCACUGACAUAUAAUAACUCCACAGCAUGUGGCCCCAAGAACUGCCCUGAAAG
rnacentral:lncRNA from 1 species